ensembl:lncRNA
CUUUGUCCUGCAAAAGGCUGUGAGUAAGCUUUAAAACAUGGAUUAGAAAAGGAAACAGGAGAGAAGGAGAGAAAGCAGAUAGUCUCGAAAGCCAUGAGAAACAUCUUUCUGAAAGGAACCUGAUCAGACUGCAAGUGUUUAUUUUCAGAAAAAGAAAAAGAAAAAGAAGAAGAAAAAGAAAAAAAAAGAAAAAGAAGAAGAAGAAGAAGAAGGAUCCUGAUGAAGAUUAAAGAAAGAAAACAAAUGACACAUAGUGGAAAAAGAGUAACAGAGGAUAUCCCUUUAUCACCUGUUCUUAAGCAACAAAAAUGGGUCUCCAGUGUUAGUGGAAGAUAGUGCAUAUGCAGUGGGUGAAAUGAUUUUUUAUACAGCUAAAAUUAGUUUGGGGAGGUCUUGUCAUAAGGCAUUAAUAAGAGCUUGGUAAAACAAACAAAAAAGUUUAUGAAGUAGAUAUACUCUUAUAUUCAUCCAUUCCCCUGGAGCUAUAUAAAGCCUCAUGCUUCACUCAGUACUGGAUGCCAAGGACACGGAGAUUCAUUCCAAUGGCCAUCAGAAUAUCCUGCUGUUGCUAGUACAGUUACAUUCUUAUCCUUUGUCUAAACUCAUACCGUUCUGAGACAUAAUAAAUAAUUUCCAUUUCUUCAUAUUAUGGAAUUUUAGA